GGGUCAGCCUAGAGCCAGGAACACGCAGCGGACACCCCAGAGCCAAGCUCCGUUUGGUCCCCCAGGCCCUGCCCUGCCUGCCCUGGAGCUCACCCAGCCCCAACCCCGUGCAUCAGCAGUGGCCUGUGGGAUUCCCUUUCCGUUUGACUCCGGGAGGCAGAGGACCAGGCCCACGUCCCCUGCCACACCGGGGCUGUAGCCAUCACAUGUGUUGGGCUCUGGCACAUCACCAGUGAUGCAGCUACUCCUGGCACAUUAACAAACACCCAAAGAGGGAGAAAGAAGGCAGGAGAAGAAGGACAACUGGUACUGCCCAGAGCCAGAGGAAGACUGCUGCCAGCCCACCACACCCUCUCCAGAUGCCCUGUGUGUCCCUCAUUCCUUCUAUUUCUGGGCUCUGGCUUCCUUAUUUUAUCCUCUUUGACAUGCCUCCCUCCUCCUCACUGCUCAGCAAAAGCAUCCUGGAUUUAGAGGCAGCCAAGCUAGAGAGCUCAGGACAAUGCUUGUUGACUUGCACCGGUGCUAAGACACAGUCUACAACAUGAGCACCCUGAUGCACUCACAGCUUUUCAGGGAGGAUGGGAGUGAAAGGCAACAUCACAUACACAAGUAGGCUGUAAGAGGCAGCACAGAUCCAGAAUCAAUAAAAUGGAGAAAAGUAUCUCUCUUGUUCUCAUAAUCUAAUGCUGCAUUGUUCAUUCAACUCGAACUCACGGAGUGCCUGCCUGCUGGGCCAAGAACCUGUUCUAGGUGCUGUGGGCGGAGGGUUGAGCGGUGCUGUUGUGGUGGUGUAGAAGGCAGGUAGUCAAAUAAGAAUAAAAAAUGAAUUAUGGAAUCUGAGUCAGAGAUAAUGACAUUUGUUAUUAGAGAACCAAUUAGGGUUGUGUGGUAGAGAGGUAACGGAGAGGCUGAUUUCAGAUAGGGUGUUCAGAGGCCAUUUCUGAGGAAGGGUCAAUCCUAAAGAAAAUCAACCUGAAUAUUCACUGAUGGACUGAUUCUGAAGCUGAAGCUCCAAUACUUUGACCAUCUGAUCCAAAGAGCCUACUCAUUGGAAAAGACCCUGAUGCUGGGAAAGAUUGAAGGCAGAAGGAGAAGGGGGUGACAGAGGAUGAGAUGGUUGGAUGGCAUCAUCAACUCAACAGACAUGAGUUUGAGCAAGCUCUGGGAGCUGGUGAAGGACAGAGAAGCCUGGCGUGCUGCAGUCCACAGACGUGCAAAGAGCCAGACACAACUGAGCGACUGAGCAACAACAACAUGGAACUGAGACUGAUACGAAGAGAAAACAAGAGGAAGAGCUUUCUGGGUGGAGACGGCUUUCAUGUGGUUUCUACAAAGCCUGUCUGGCACCUUGGCCCAUGGCUGCAGACUUUUCAUCCUUUGCUGAGCUCAGCAUUUAUUGAUCACCUUUUUCUAUGCCAGGUGAUGCUCAGGAUGCAGUUGUGAGCAAGAAAGACAUGGUU
ensembl:lncRNA